rnacentral:rRNA from 1 species
UGGGGAAUAUUGCACAAUGGGCGAAAGCCUGAUGCAGCGACGCCGCGUGAGGGAUGACGGCCUUCGGGUUGUAAACCUCUUUCAGCAGGGAAGAAGCGAAAGUGACGGUACCUGCAGAAGAAGCGCCGGCUAACUACGUGCCAGCAGCCGCGGUAAUACGUAGGGCGCAAGCGUUGUCCGGAAUUAUUGGGCGUAAAGAGCUCGUAGGCGGUUAGUCGCGUCUGCUGUGAAAACUCGAGGCUCAACCUCGGGCUUGCAGUGGGUACGGGCUGACUAGAGUGCGGUAGGGGUGACUGGAAUUCCUGGUGUAGCGGUGGAAUGCGCAGAUAUCAGGAGGAACACCGAUGGCGAAGGCAGGUCACUGGGCCGCAACUGACGCUGAGGAGCGAAAGCAUGGGGAGCGAACAGGAUUAGAUACCCUGGUAGUCCAUGCCGUAAAACGUUGGGCACUAGGUGUGGGGUCCAUUCCACGGAUUCCGUGCCGCAGCAAACGCAUUAAGUGCCCCGCCUGGGGAGUACGGCCGCAAGGCUAAAAACUUAAAAGG